GCCAGGCAUGGUGGCGCACACCUGUAGUCCCAGCUACUCAGGAGGCUGAGGUGGGAGGAUCACUUGAGACCAGGAAGUCGAGGCUGCAGUGAGCUAUAAUCAUGCCACUGCACUCCAGCCUGGGCAACAGAGUGAGACCCUGUCUUCA
rnacentral:SRP_RNA from 1 species